rnacentral:rRNA from 1 species
AGAGUUUGAUCAUGGCUCAGGACGAACGCUGGCGGCGUGCCUAAUACAUGCAAGUCGAGCGAGCUUGCCUAGAUGAUUUUAGUGCUUGCACUAAAUGAAACUAGAUACAAGCGAGCGGCGGACGGGUGAGUAACACGUGGGUAACCUGCCCAAGAGACUGGGAUAACACCUGGAAACAGAUGCUAAUACCGGAUAACAACACUAGACGCAUGUCUAGAGUUUGAAAGAUGGUUCUGCUAUCACUCUUGGAUGGACCUGCGGUGCAUUAGCUAGUUGGUAAGGUAACGGCUUACCAAGGCAAUGAUGCAUAGCCGAGUUGAGAGACUGAUCGGCCACAUUGGGACUGAGACACGGCCCAAACUCCUACGGGAGGCAGCAGUAGGGAAUCUUCCACAAUGGACGAAAGUCUGAUGGAGCAACGCCGCGUGAGUGAAGAAGGGUUUCGGCUCGUAAAGCUCUGUUGGUAGUGAAGAAAGAUAGAGGUAGUAACUGGCCUUUAUUUGACGGUAAUUACCUAGAAAGUCACGGCUAACUACGUGCCAGCAGCCGCGGUAAUACGUAGGUGGCAAGCGUUGUCCGGAUUUAUUGGGCGUAAAGCGAGUGCGGGCGGUUCAAUAAGUCUGAUGUGAAAGCCUUCGGCUCAACCGGAGAAUUGCAUCAGAAACUGUUGAACUUGAGUGCAGAAGAGGAGAGUGGAACUCCAUGUGUAGCGGUGGAAUGCGUAGAUAUAUGGAAGAACACCAGUGGCGAAGGCGGCUCUCUGGUCUGCAACUGACGCUGAGGCUCGAAAGCAUGGGUAGCGAACAGGAUUAGAUACCCUGGUAGUCCAUGCCGUAAACGAUGAGUGCUAAGUGUUGGGAGGUUUCCGCCUCUCAGUGCUGCAGCUAACGCAUUAAGCACUCCGCCUGGGGAG